CGCCCUUUUCUCUCGUCUUCUCGCCUGUGUGUAUGUCCUUUUUUUUCCCGCGCAAACAGGGCGCGCCGAGGGCAAAAGCGGCGAUGUCUCGAUGACGGUGACGGAGACAGCGGUGGGUGUGCAGGCACGGCUGCCCUUUUGUCCUUGGAGUCACCGGUUCAAAGGUCUCGCCUCGAUGUGUGACAUCUGACCGACGGGUCGCCCGCCGGCGACGCGGCAUCUGCCCCAAACAAAAGAAGGGAGGUCGGAAGAUCUCUUACGCCACAAUUUGACGGGCGCGCGCGCGCGUGUCCCUCGCCAGUGCCUGUCGCUGUGCACGCCUAUCAUGCCCAAAAAAGCGCGCAGCAAAAAAGGGGAGUGAGAGGCGCGUGGGGCAUUUUGGCCCGUCAUACCACAGCCCCUCACGGCAAAAGGCGCACAGCGCAACCCACAACAACGCCAACGGCGCCGUAACCUCGGCAGACUGACAAAGAAAAGAAACGAAUCGCUGGACCUUUUCAUUGGACGCUGCAUCCUUGGCUCCAAAAAAAUCCGUCCGCACAAC
rnacentral:lncRNA from 1 species